rnacentral:lncRNA from 1 species
GGGAAGGAGAAAGAUCCUGUCUGGUUCAGUUCCUACUAACCUCAGAGCUUCAAGGAAUGGGGAGGAGAAGGUGGAAAUAUCCAAGCUGGAUCAAUAAGUGCUACCUCUGUAAGAACCUGAUGCACUGAGGUCGGCACUGUUAUUGUCUCCAUGAGCAUGCCUCAGGCUUGCAACCACAUUGGUGGGAGUUGGACUUGAUGAUCCUUAUGGAUCCUUUCCAACUUGGGAUAUUCUAUGAUUCCAUGACUCUGUGAUUCACACUGAUCAAGUAUUAUAGGUUUAUUGCACGUUGUGCCUCCAUCAAAAAUGUGAACCCUGUUUUCAGCAGAGAACCAACAGCAACUGCAGUUACAUCAUGCUCAGAUAUGUUUGAAC